GGGAUAACACUUGGAAACAGGUGCUAAUACCGCAUAACCAUAGUUACCGCAUGGUAACUAUGUAAAAGGUGGCUAUGCUACCGCUUUUGGAUGGGCCCGCGACGCAUUAGCUAGUUGGUGGGGUAAAGGCUUACCAAGGCAAUGAUGCGUAGCCGAACUGAGAGGUUGAUCGGCCACAUUGGGACUGAGACACGGCCCAAACUCCUACGGGAGGCAGCAGUAGGGAAUCUUCCACAAUGGGCGAAAGCCUGAUGGAGCAACGCCGCGUGGGUGAAGAAGGUCUUCGGAUCGUAAAACCCUGUUGUUAGAGAAGAAAGUGCGUGAGAGUAACUGUUCACGUUUCGACGGUAUCUAACCAGAAAGCCACGGCUAACUACGUGCCAGCAGCCGCGGUAAUACGUAGGUGGCAAGCGUUAUCCGGAUUUAUUGGGCGUAAAGAGAACGCAGGCGGUCUUUUAAGUCUGAUGUGAAAGCCUUCGGCUUAACCGGAGUAGUGCAUUGGAAACUGGGAGACUCGAGUGCAGAAGAGGAGAGUGGAACUCCAUGUGUAGCGGUGAAAUGCGUAGAUAUAUGGAAGAACACCAGUGGCGAAAGCGGCUCUCUGGUCUGUAACUGACGCUGAGGUUCGAAAGCGUGGGUAGCAAACAGGAUUAGAUACCCUGGUAGUCCACGCCGUAAAC
rnacentral:rRNA from 1 species